UUUUCAACUGCAUCUAAUUAAAAAGAAAAAACACUCGAUAUCGAAUCUAAGAAGAUGAUUUAUUUCGUUAAUUCUCUGCAACUGAGAAAGUAAUGAAACCUAAUGGAACAAAAAAGCUCAGUCGCUUUAUAGUAAAUCGAAUUUCACGAGCAAACACGAUAGCAUUCUCAAUAAUUACACUAACAAGAUUAAAAGUUUUAUAGAUAGAAAAUUAUUUCUCCCGGAACAGGAUUCCAUGACAUCUACACUACUUCUACAUACACAGACGAUCCAGGGAAACAUUGUGUAUGGAGCUUUAAAGGCGAAAGGCGCUUCCUAACCUACAAAAGACGCUUGAAGUAGUAGCACUUACCGUACACCAAGGAACGAGACACUCGACCGUAUUCACAGGUUUUCAGUACCCUGGCAACAUAACGCUCCUCCUACUGUCGUUCGACGAAGACCAAUGGCGGACUAAAGAGGGUAGUUUCGUGAUUGGUACGAUCCUGGGGAAAGCCGGUUGCACGCACGCACACGUGGGUGCUCUGGUUGCGGCGCUCGACAGUCGGCAAAAGCGUUCUAUCGAGGGGCCCCCUGGCGUAUACGCGUGCACACACGCGUGAGUAUCUUACACAUAUAAAACAGCCGAUCAGACUGAAGUUACGAGUAGAGUCCUUGUGUCAGCGCAGCAGACACAGACGGUAUCCCAAACGGAGUGCGGUCGUUGCUCACGAAGAAGUGGAAGAAAGACAGAAAUAAGGAUACACAUAGAGACGUGUCCUAACACGCGGGUCUGUGGAGAGUAGUGUACCCCUCCGUUGGCGAGUUUACGGGCGAGCAGACGCGGUGUUAUCGCAUACAGCACGCGCUGCACGCUCGUCCGGGAUUCAGCACCGAGCGGCUCGACAAAACGUGCGAGACACGAGACGCGAGGCGCGGCUGUGGCGUGCACACAUCCGUAGGUGUGAUAA
rnacentral:misc_RNA from 1 species